rnacentral:rRNA from 1 species
UGAAUACGAGACGCUAAGGCGUCGAAGUAGUGUAUGUCAUACUUCCAAGAAAAGCUUGCACUGUCAUAGAUAAAAAACGCCUGUACCAUAACCGACACAGGUGGGUAGGUAGAGUAUACUAAGGGGCGCGAGAUAACUCUCUCUAAGGAACUCGGCAAAAUAACUCCGUAACUUCGGGAGAAGGAGUGCCUUAUUCGUAAGGUUGCAAUAACAAGAUCCAAGCAACUGUUUAUCAAAAACACAGGUCUCCGCUAAGUCGUAAGACGAUGUAUGGGGGCUGACGCCUGCCCAGUGCCAGAAGGUUAAAGAAGUUGGUUAGCAAUUGCGAAGCUGAUAACUGAAGCCCUGGUGAACGGCGGCCGUAACUAUAACGGUCCUAAGGUAGCGAAAUUCCUUGUCGGGUAAGUUCCGACCCGCACGAAAGGCGUAAUGAUUUGGAUACUGUCUCGGAGAGGGGCUCGGUGAAAUAGACUUGUCUGUGAAGAUGCGGACUACCUGCACCAGGACAGAAAGACCCUAUGAAGCUUUACUGUAACUUGGAAUUGAAAUUGGACUUUAUUCGCGCAGCAUAGGUGGGAGGCGUUGAUUAUAAUCUUGCGGGAUUAUUGGAGCCAUCAGUGAGAUACCACUCUUGUAAUGUUAGAUUUCUAACUUUGAAUCAUUAUCUGGUCAAAGAACAGUUUCAGGCGGGCAGUUUGACUGGGGCGGUCGCCUCCUAAACGGUAACGGAGGCGUACAAAGGUUCCCUCUGAACGGUUAGAAAUCGUAUCUAGAGUGUAAAGGCAUAAGGAAGCUUGACUGUGAGACCUACAAGUCGAGCAGGGACGAAAGUCGGUCUUAGUGAUCUGACGGUACUGAGUGGAAAGGCCGUCACUCAACGGAUAAAAGUUACUCUAGGAUAACAGGCUGAUCUCCCCCAAGAGUUCACAUCGACGGGGAGGUUUGGCACCUCGAUGUCGGCUCAUCGCAUCCUGGGGCGGUAGUACGUCCCAAGGGUUGGGCUGUUCGCCCAUGAAAGCGGUACGCGAGCUGGGUUCAGAACGUCGUGAGACAGUUCGGUCCAUAUCCGGUGUAGGCGUUAGAAUAUUGAGAGGAGCCUUCUUUAGUACGAGAGGACCGAGAAGGACAUACCUCUGGUGUACCAGUUAUCGUGCCAACGGUAAACGCUGGGUAGCUAUGUAUGGAGUGGAUAACCGCUGAAAGCAUCUAAGUGGGAAGCCCACCUCAAGAUAAG